GGAGGGGGCGAGCGUUAUUCGGAAUUAUUGGGCGUAAAGGGCAGGUAGGCGGCUUUGUGUGUCCUCUGUGAAAGCCCCCGGCUUAACCGGGGAAUUGCAGGGGAAACUGCGAAGCUUGAGUCCGGGAGAGGGUAGUGGAAUUCCCAGUGUAGCGGUGAAAUGCGUAGAUAUUGGGAGGAACACCAGUGGCGAAGGCGACUACCUGGACCGGUACUGACGCUGAGCUGCGAAAGCCAGGGGAGCGAACGGGAUUAGAUACCCCGGUAGUCCUGGCUGUAAACGAUGAGCACUUGGUGUGGCGGGUAUCGACCCCCCUGCUGUGCCGAAGCUAACGCAUUAAGUGCUCCGCCUGGGGAGUACGGUCGCAAGGCUG
rnacentral:rRNA from 1 species